AACGAACGCUGGCGGCAGGCUUAACACAUGCAAGUCGAACGAUGUAGCAAUACAUAGUGGCGCACGGGGGAGUAACGCGGGGGAAUGUACCUUAUAGUGGGGAAGAACGUUGGGAAACUAACGGUAAUACCGCAUACGCCCUCCGGGGGAAAGAUUUAUCGCUAUAAGAUCAGCCCGCGUGGGAUUAGAAAGUUGGUGGGGUAAUGGCCUACCAAGCCUACGAUCUCUAGCUGGUCUGAGAGGAUGAUCAGCCACACUGGAUCUGAGACACGGUCCAGACUCCUACGGGAGGCAGCAGUGGGGAAUAUUGGGCAAUGGAGGCAACUCUGACCCAGCCAUGCCGCGUGAAUGAUGAAGGCCUUAGGGUUGUAAAGUUCUUUCGCCGAUGAAGAUAAUGACGGUAGUCGGAGAAGAAGCCCCGGCUAACUUCGUGCCAGCAGCCGCAGUAA
rnacentral:rRNA from 1 species